AACGAACGCUGGCGGCGUGUCUUAAGCAUGCAAGUCGGACGGCAAGGCGGGGCAACCCGCCCUAGAGUGGCGGACUGGUGAGUAACACGUGGGUGAUCUGCCCUUGGUUUGGGGAUAGCUCGUGGAAACACGGGGUAAUACCGAAUACGACGGCAAGACUGCGGUUUUGUCGGGAAAGGCGCUAAGGCGCCGACCGAGGAUGAGCCCGCGCCCCAUUAGCUAGUUGGUGAGGUAAAGGCCCACCAAGGCUAUGAUGGGUAGGCGGCCUGAGAGGGUGUACGCCCACACUGGGACUGAGAUACGGCCCAGAC
rnacentral:rRNA from 1 species